rnacentral:rRNA from 1 species
UAAUACGUAGGGCGCAAGCGUUGUCCGGAAUUAUUGGGCGUAAAGAGCUCGUAGGCGGCUUGUCGCGUCGGUUGUGAAAGCCCGGGGCUUAACCCCGGGUCUGCAGUCGAUACGGGCAGGCUAGAGUUCGGUAGGGGAGAUCGGAAUUCCUGGUGUAGCGGUGAAAUGCGCAGAUAUCAGGAGGAACACCGGUGGCGAAGGCGGAUCUCUGGGCCGAUACUGACGCUGAGGAGCGAAGGCGUGGGGAGCGAACAGGAUUAGAUACCCUGGUAGUCCACGCCGUAAACGGUGGGAACUAGGUGUUGGCGACAUUCCACGUCGUCGGUGCCGCAGCUAACGCAUUAAGUUCCCCGCCUGGGGAGUACGGCCGCAAGGCU